rfam:Lottia digitalis external transcribed spacer 1, 18S ribosomal RNA gene, internal transcribed spacer 1, 5.8S ribosomal RNA gene, internal transcribed spacer 2, 28S ribosomal RNA gene, and external transcribed spacer 2, complete sequence.
CGGCCUCGGAUCGAGCGAGAUUACCCGCUGAACUUAAGCAUAUCACUAAGCGGAGGAAAAGAAACCAACCGGGAUUCCCUCAGUAGCGGCGAGCGAAGCGGGAAAAGCCCAUCGCCGAAUCCCCCGUCGGACCUCGGCGGUUUGGGAACUGUGGCGUAAGGGUCCGACUCGUCGGGCGUCUGACCGUCCGAACAAGUCCCGCGGGACAGGUGUGCUCCCAGAGUGGGUGUGAGGCCUUUAGUUCGGUCUGGGUCUUCUGCUCGGCGCAGUCGGUACCUGAGAGUCGAGUUGUUUGGGAUCGCAGCUCAAAGUGGGUGGUAAGCUCCAUCUAAGGCUAAAUACUUGCACGAGUCCGAUAGCGAACAAGUACCGUGAGGGAAAGUUGAAAAGAACUUUGAAGAGAGAGUUCAAGAGACCGUGAAAGCGCCUACGGGCAAACGGGUGGAACCGCCGGUGCGAUCAGCGGAAUCCAGCUCGCCGGGCAGGCGGCUCCUGGUGGCGACGUAGACUUGUCCUUCUCGGAGGACGGGCUCGUCGUUGUCAGAGGGUUCGUCCCCGUCGGCGUAUCUUCCGCUGUGUCGCGAGUCGCGACCGGCUCGAAGUGCUUCGUUUCGACUGGUUGCAGGCGAGGAGCGCGCUUUGCGUUGCAUCCGUCUCCGGACUGCCUGCGCCGGUCGGUACCACGGCGAACGUAGCUUCGGGCCGAGGAACGGCCCCGUCCUCGCUCCCGACUCAGUCUCCCGGCGACGUCGCGGCUGUCUUGACUGCCUCUCUGAGGCUUAACAGUGCAAGUGCGGUCGCGUGUCGGCGUCGGCGAGGCGGCGGGCAUUGGAGGACGGUUUAGAGGGUCCGCGGCUGGCCGUGGCGGCACUCUUCCCGACCCGUCUUGAAACACGGACCAAGGAGUCUAACGUGAGCGCGAGUCACAGGGAAAAACACUCCCUUGGGGCGCAGCGAAAGCGAUGUGGUCCGAUCCUCUCUCGGGUGAGGGGGGCGCAGGACCGGCCCGUCGGGGGUUGUUACGGCCUCGGCGGAGCAAGAGCGCUCGCGUUGGGACCCGAAAGAUGGUGAACUAGGCCCGAGCGGGACGAAGCCGGGAGAAAUGCUGGUGGAGGUCCUAAGUGGUUCUGACGCGCAAAUCGAUCACGGAACUUGGGCGUAGGGGCGAAAGACUAAUCGAACCAUCUAGUAGCUGGUUCCCUCCGAAGUUUCCCCCAGGAUAGCUGGCGCUCGCCGAGACAGUUUCGUCCGGUAAAGCGAAUGAUUAGAGGAGUCCGUGCCGAAAUGGCGUGGAGCUAUUGUCAAACUUUGAACGGGCGAGAAGGGGUGCCUACCGCUCGAUCUGGGAGGCUCGGCCCCCGUCGAAAUGUACGAGUGCCAAGUGGGCCACUUUUGGUAAGCAGAACUGGCGCUGUGGGAUGAACCAAACGCCGGGUUAAGGCGCCCGAUCGUCACGCUCAGCAGAACCCACAAAAGGCGUCCAUCGGUAAAGACAGCAGGACGGUGACCAUGGAAGUCGGUAUCCGCCAAGGAGUGUGUAACAACUCACCUGCCGAAUUGGUGGGCCCUGAAAAUGGAUGGCGCUGUAGCGUGCAGCCUACACCCGGCCGUCUCGGCAAUUUUCUCCGGCCUGCCGGUAGAGACUGACCGAAGCCGAGACGAGUAGGAGGGUCGCCGCGGUCAGCGCUGAAGCCUUAGACGCGAGUCUGGGUGUAGCGGCCGCGGGUGCCGAUCUUGGUGGUAGUAGCAAAUAUUCGAGCGAGAACCUCGAAGGCCGAAGUGGAGAAGGGUUCCGCGUUGCUCCUUCGAUCGGCCGCGGGUUAGUCGGUCCUAAGGCCUGGGAGAAAUCCUACGGGAAGCGGGACGUUUUUAACUUUAAAAAUUAGUCUCACCCAAUGCACGGGCCGAAAGGGAAACGGGUUAGGAUUCCCGUACCCGAAGGCGGAGCACAAGCGGCGACGCAAAGAAGGUCGGAUACACCGUCGGGAGAGUCGAGAAGAGUUAACUUUUCUUUUUGAGGUGCGCUCGCUGACCCUGGAAGCGGUUCUGCCGGAGAUAGGGAGCGAGAGCAAUCAACUUUAUCCGCAAAGCCGGCUCCAGCGGGGGCCUGUUCGGCUACGACUCGACGGUCCUUGAAACUCCGACGGCUAAACUUUUCUUUUGAAUAUGAAAAUGUGUUCGCUCUCGCCUCGGGCCGUACCUCAAUCCGCCGCAGGUCUCCAAGGUUCGCAGCCUCUGGUCGAUAGAACAAUGUAGGUAAGGGAAGUCGGCAAAAUGGAUCCGUAACUUCGGGAGAAGGAUUGGCUCUGAGGGCCGAGCGACCCGCUGCUAGCUUCGGAAGAGGGAAUCAUAGAGCGGGAGUCCGCGAGGUGGCAUAUUAAUUUGGACUUGGGCGCACCGAACGGCGAACGUUCUACCCUCGGAAGGGCAGGCGGACGGAGCGGGGUAGGGGCGACUCUCCUCGUUUUCGGCACGGGCGCGAGGAACGGCUCGAUCAGAA